AUAAAUAUUAUGAAUGGAAAGAGUAGUUAAAUCACUUAGUUAAAGAGAGUCGAUGUUGGUGGGAAUUCGAUACUAAUAUUUAGCGAAGACAUCCUGGAGUAGAUAUGUUGAAAACCAGUAGACAUAUACGUUAGCCAGCGUUAAUGGUAUAAAGCGGGAUAUUUAUCUUAUAAAUAUCCAAUAAGGGUGGUACCACGGGAAAUAACACCUCUCGUCCCUGUC
rnacentral:ncRNA from 1 species